CCCUUAGCCAAGCAUUCAUCAAAAAGAACUGGAUGUUGAAAGAAAAGACUAUAUGCUUUCAAGUUUCCACGUGGAAAGAAAGGUUUCUCUCUCCACACAUGAUGAAGCAACGUUGUAUUUGAACACCUAAACUGCUCAACUUCAGCCACUUCUCCUACAGGAAAAACAAAGGCUCUCCCAGAAAGCUGAGCGCAGAGCAAAAGAACACAGCCUACGCACUCUGCCUCAGCAGUGGCUUCCAGUCACCAAAUAAAACAAAUUACCCAUAAAACAGUCAUUUCUUUCCUUUCAACGUAUACUGAGGAAUCUGGGAACAACUGGACACAGUUCGCCACCUUGUGAGCAGGAGAAGACGUGCAGUUUCCUGAAGGACAGCCAACCCUCAGUGCAGAAGCCACAGAGAGAAGCUUUGUGACUCAGGGCCCCAGGCUCCAGAGCACCACAUACGAUGUCUUUGGAGAUGUGCGGUGCGGGGUUAUUUCUGCACUCUCUCCCAGGGCCAGCCUGAGGCCACAUAAAUAACUGAAAUGGGUCUUUAUUGCACACACUACAGCAUUGCUGCAAAACCCUUAUCAAAGUCAUGAACUUGGAGUCAACGAACCUGUUUCUGCUACUAACUACCAAGUGACCUUGAGCAAGUCGCCUAAUUCCUGUGGGCCACAUUUGCAAAUGAGAAAGAUUGACCAGGUGAUCUACAGGGGCUCAUCCAGCUCUAAAAAUGUCUUAUUAAGAGUCCUG
rnacentral:lncRNA from 1 species